rnacentral:pre_miRNA from 1 species
UUUUUAAUAUAAGUAUGUUCCAUGAAAUAUUUGGUCCCUAUUUGUAGUAAAA